AGUGGAUGGGGAGCAACCUAUGUUGUGCGUGUGUAAAGGUAGUGCCAAGAAAAGCGAUGAUCAUGUUGAAAAUCAAUUCCCGGUACCCGAAACCGACACAGGUGCAAGUAGAGAAUACUAAGGGGCGCGAGGUAACUCUCUCCAAGGAACUCGGCAAAAUGACCCCGUAACUUAGGGAGAAGGGGUGCCACCGAGAGGUGGUCGCAGUGAAGAGGCCCAGGCGACUGUUUAGCAAAAACAUAGGUCUCUGCAAACUCGAAAGAGGAGGUAUAGGGGCUGACGCCUGCCCAGUGCCGGAAGGUUAAAGAAGUUGGUCAGUUUUAGGAUGAAGCUAGCGACUGAAGCCCCGGUGAACGGCGGCCGUAACUAUAACGGUCCUAAGGUAGCGAAAUUCCUUCGGGUAAGUUCCGACCCGCACGAAAGGCGUAACGAUCUGGGCGCUGUCUCGGAGAGAGGCUCGGCGAAAUAGGAUUGUCUGUGAAGAUACGGACUACCUGCAUUUGGACAGAAAGACCCUAUGAAGCUUUACUAUAGCUUGGAAUUGUGUUCGGGCUUCCUGUGCGCAGGAUAGGUGGGAGGCGUAGAAGGUAUUCUUGUGGGGAUACUGGAGCCAACGGUGAGAUACCACUCUCAGGAGGCUAGAAUUCUAACUUAAUUAAGGACAGUUUCAGGUGGGUAGUUUGACUGGGGCGGUCGCCUCCAAAAAGGUAACGGAGGCGUACAAAGGUUCCCUCAGACUGGUUGGAAAUCAGUCGAAGAGUGCAAAGGCAGAAGGGAGCUUGACUGCGAGAAGUACAGUUCGAGCAGGGUGGAAACACGGUCUUAGUGAUCCGACGGUGCUGUGUGGAAGGGCCGUCGCUCAACGGAUAAAAGUUACUCUAGGAUAACAGGCUGAUCUCCCCCAAGAGCUCACAUCGACGGGGAGGUUUGGCACCUCGAUGUCGGCUCAUCGCAACCUGGGGCGGAAGUACGUCCCAAGGGUUGGGCUGUUCGCCCAUUAAAGCGGUACGUGAGCUGGGUUCAGAACGUCGUGAGACAGUUCGGUCCAUAUCCGAUGUAGGCGUGAGAAUAUUGAGAGGAGCCUUCCUUAGUACGAGAGGACCGGGAAGGACGCACCGCUGGUGUACCUGUUAUGAUGCCAAUUGUAAACGCAGGGUAGCCAAGUGCGGAGAGGAUAACCGCUGAAAGCAUCUAAGUGGGAAGCCCACCUCAAGAUGAGUAUUCUGGUGUAAGGUCACGGGAAGACGACCCGUAAAUAGGCACGAGGUGGAAGUGCAGAGAUGUAUGAAGCCGAAGUGUACUAAUAGACCGUCGGCUUGACC
rnacentral:rRNA from 1 species